ACUCCUACGGGAGGCAGCAGUGGGGAAUAUUGCACAAUGGGGGAAACCCUGAUGCAGCCAUGCCGCGUGUGUGAAGAAGGCCUUCGGUUGUAAAGCACUUUCAGUAGGGAGGAAGGUAGUGUAGUUAACACCUGCAUUAUUUGACGUUACCUACAGAAGAAGCACCGGCUAACUCCGUGCCAGCAGCCGCGGUAAUACGGAGGGGUGCGAGCGUUAAUCGGAAUUACUGGGCGUAAAGCGCAUGCAGGCGGCCUGUUAAGUCAGAUGUGAAAGCCCGGGGGCUUAACCUCGGAAUUGCAUUUGAAACUGGCAGGCUAGAGUCUGUAGAGGGGGUAGAAUUUCAGGUGUAGCGGUGAAAUGCGUAGAGAUCUGAAGGAAUACCAGUGGCGAAGGCGGCCCCCUGGACAAAGACUGACGCUCAGAUGCGAAAGCGUGGGGAGCAAACAGGAUUAGAUACCCUGGUAGACUGUCA
rnacentral:rRNA from 1 species